GCCUAGGUGGUGAAAUUGGUAGACGCACGGGACUCAAAAUCCCGCGGUAGCAAUACCAUGGGGGUUCGAGUCCCCCCCCAGGCACCA
rnacentral:tRNA from 1 species